rfam:Mycobacterium moriokaense strain CIP105393 NODE_26_length_102380_cov_125.361_ID_15865, whole genome shotgun sequence.
GCGUCCACACACGGGAGCGCACACCCAGUGCGCUGAGAGGACGGGUGGGCCCGUCGACCGUACGAACCUGACCGGGUAAUGCCGGCGUAGGGAGAUGCCAUGACGUCUGUC